rnacentral:rRNA from 1 species
AAAAACAUGUCCUUUUGUUUAUGAUUUAAGGUCUGACCUGCCCAAUGAUUGUUUGAAUGGCCGCAGUAUUUUGACUGUGCGAAGGUAGCAUAAUCAUUAGUUUUUUAAAUGGAAGCUGGAAUGAACGGUUUGAUGAGAAAAUUACUGUCUCAAAUUAAUUGUUUUAGAAUUUUAAUUUUGAGUCAAAAAGCUCAAAUGUUUUAAAAAGACGAGAAGACCCUAUAGAGUUUUAUUUCUUAUUUAAUAAAUUUUUUUAUGGUUUAAUUAUUUUUUAUUUUUUAAGGAAUUUUGUUGGGGUGAUAUAAAAAUUUAGUUAACUUUUUAUUUAUUUUUUCAUUUAUUUAUGAUUUUUUGAUCCUUUAUUUAAGAUUAUAAGAUAAAAUUACCUUAGGGAUAACAGCGUAAUUUUUUCGGAGAGUUCUUAUCGAUGAAAAAGUUUGCGACCUCGAUGU